AUACGGAGGAUGCGAGCGUUAUCCGGAUUUAUUGGGCUUAAAGGGAGCGUAGGUGGGAUAUUAAGUCAGCUGUGAAAGUUUGGGGCUCGACCUUAAAAUUGCAGUUGAUACUGGUUUCCUUGAGUACGGUACAGGUGGGUGGAAUUCGUGGUGUAGUGGUGAAAUGCUUAGAUAUCACGAAGAACUCCGAUCGAGAAGGCAGCUCACCGGGCCGGAACUGACACUGAUGCUCGAAAGUGCGGGUAUCAAACAGGAUUAGAUACCCUGGUAGUCCGCACAGUAAACGAUGAAUACUCGCUGUUUGCGAUACACUGUAAGCGGCCAAGCGAAAGCGUUAAGUAUUCCACCUGGGGAGUACGCCGGCAACGGUGAAACUCAAAUGAAUUGACGGGG
rnacentral:rRNA from 1 species